ACCAACCAGAUCCCACGCCAUCGUUCGACUCUCUCUCUCCCACCCUCCUCAUAUCGUUCGACGAUCUGAAACCGUCGUCGUCCCAACAAUCCCACCCCCCAUUAUUCCCAGAACCACUCCCCUCCUUGUUGCCGCCGGCCUCCAUCUUCUUCAUUCCUCCCCUGCUCGUUGCCGCAAGUCACGGAGCCGUCGAGAUGCUGCCAUUUUUUUCCUGCGAUUGCAGGUCCCAAAGCCGUGCCCUCGAGAUUGCAGGUCCCGUCUGUG
rnacentral:lncRNA from 1 species